rnacentral:rRNA from 1 species
CUAAUCAUAGCUCAGAAGAAACAAAAUUAAACUAACAAUAUCAACUAAAACAAAACAUUUAUAACCCUUAAAAGUAUAGGAGAUAGAAAUUUUCACCUGACGCCAUAGAGAAAGUACCGCAAGGGAACAAUUGAAUUAAAGUAUAAAAAAGCAAAGUUUACAUCUUUUACCUUUUGCAUAAUGAUUUAACUAGAAUAAUCUUAACAAAGAGAACUGAAGCUAAGAACCCCGAAACCAGACGAGCUAUCUAAGAGCCGCCUAGAGGGCAAACUCGUCUAUGUGGCAAAAUAGUGAGAAGACUCUUAGAUAGAGGUGAAAAGCCAAACGAGCCUGGUGAUAGCUGGUUGUCCAGAUAAUGAAUUUAAGUUCAAAUUUAAACCUACCAAAAACCACCACAAGCAUAAUGUAGAUUUAAAUUAUAGCCUAAGGGGGUACAGCCCCUUAGGCCUAGGGUAUAACCUUUAUUAGAGAGUAAGCACUAGAUUCACCAUAGUUGGCCUAAAAGCAGCCAUCCAUUAAGAAAGCGUUCAAGCUCAACAAUAAACAUAUCUUAAUCACACAAUUAAUACAAUAACUCCUAAUAUAACACUGGACUAUUCUAUUACCAAAUAGAGGCAAUAAUGUUAAUAUGAGUAACAAGAAUAACUUCUCCUCGCAUGAGUGUAUAUCAGAACGAAUGCAUCACUGAUAGUUAACAAAACCUUAAAACCAACCCAAAAAUGAACCCCUAUACCUCAACUUGUUAAUCCAACACAGGCAUGCACUAAGGGAAAGAUUAAAAGGGAUAAAAGGAACUCGGCAAACACAAACCUCGCCUGUUUACCAAAAACAUCACCUCCUGCCUUACAAGUAUUGGAGGCACUGCCUGCCCAGUGACAUUAGUUAAACGGCCGCGGUAUCCUGACCGUGCAAAGGUAGCAUAAUCAUUUGUUCUCUAAAUAAGGACUUGCAUGAAUGGCCACACGAGGGUUUAACUGUCUCUUAUCCCCAAUCAGUGAAAUUGACCUUCCCGUGAAGAGGCGGGAAUAGACCAAUAAGACGAGAAGACCCUAUGGAGCUUUCAAUUAGCUAAGCCAAAGAUAGUCAGCACCAAUCCAAUGGAAAUAAAUACGACUCUAAUCUGGCUUAGUAAUUUAGGUUGGGGUGACCUCGGAAUAAAAACCAACUCCCGAGUGAUUAACAUCUAGACCUACUAGUCAAAAUAAAACUAUCAUUUAUUGAUCCAAUCACUUGAUCAACGGAACAAGUUACCCUAGGGAUAACAGCGCAAUCCUAUUUAAGAGUCCAUAUCGACAAUAGGGUUUACGACCUCGAUGUUGGAUCAGGACAUCCUAGUGGUGCAGCCGCUACUAAGGGUUCGUUUGUUCAACGAUUAAUAGUCCUACGUGAUCUGAGUUCAGACCGGAGCAAUCCAGGUCGGUUUCUAUCUAUUUUAUGCUUUCCCCAGUACGAAAGGACAAGGAAGGCGGGGCCUACUUCACCACGCGCCCCCAGACCUACAGAUACUGCAAUAUCAAUCUGGAAGUAAAUAAAAUUAAAAACCCUAGACCAGGGUUU